GGGGAUUUAGCUCAGUGGCAUAAGCACCUGCCUAGUAAGCAGCAGGUUGUGAGUUCUAUCCACAGUACCCA
rnacentral:tRNA from 1 species